UACGUAGGGGGCAAGCGUUGUCCGGAAUCAUUGGGCGUAAAGAGCGUGUAGGCGGCUUGGCAAGUCUGGUGUGAAAUCUUGCGGCUCAACCGCAAGCGGUCACUGGAAACUGCCUCGCUAGAGUCCGGAAGAGGAGAGCGGAAUUCCUGGUGUAGCGGUGGAAUGCGCAGAUAUCAGGAAGAACACCCGUGGCGGAAGGCGGCUCUCUGGGACGGUACUGGACGCUGAGACGCGAAAGCGUGGGGAGCGAACAGG
rnacentral:rRNA from 1 species